CUAUGGAGCAAUGUUUUUUUUUAAAUAUUAGAUCGGCAAUUAAAACUAUAAAUAAUCUUUUUGAAUCAAACGAUAAUCGGAUAAAAGCUUAUCAGUUGUUAGAAGAAUUUAAGAAAGGUUCUAAUAUUGUUGAGAAUGCCACAAAAAUUGCCAAAACGGAUAUUUUACAAGAUAAUGAUAUACCAAUUGUCUUAUAUGGGUAUCAAAUGAUAAAGGAAAUUGUAGAAAUAUUAUGGGAAACUUUAUCAUAUCAAAUGACACAACAUAUUAGAACUUUUAUAACUGAAAUAAUGAUGAAAAUAAAAGAUUCAAACUUUAAUGAUGCAAUACCUAUAUGUAAUCUAUCAAAAUUAUAUGAAAUAAAUUAUGUUAAGAAAUAUUAUAUUUAUGGCCUUAUAAAAGAUAUUAUUGCAAAAAUUAUUAUUGAA